CCUACGGGAGGCAGCAGUGGGGAAUUUUGGACAAUGGGCGCAAGCCUGAUCCAGCAAUGCCGCGUGCAGGAUGAAGGCCUUCGGGUUGUAAACUGCUUUUGUACGGAACGAAACGGCUCUUUCUAAUAAAGAGAGCUAAUGACGGUACCGUAAGAAUAAGCACCGGCUAACUACGUGCCAGCAGCCGCGGUAAUACGUAGGGUGCGAGCGUUAAUCGGAAUUACUGGGCGUAAAGCGUGCGCAGGCGGUUAUAUAAGACAGAUGUGAAAUCCCCGGGCUCAACCUGGGACCUGCAUUUGUGACUGUAUAGCUAGAGUACGGUAGAGGGGGAUGGAAUUCCGCGUGUAGCAGUGAAAUGCGUAGAUAUGCGGAGGAACACCGAUGGCGAAGGCAAUCCCCUGGACCUGUACUGACGCUCAUGCACGAAAGCGUGGGGAGCAAACAGGAUUAGAUACCCUGGUAGUCCACGCCCUAAACGAUGUCAACUGGUUGUUGGGUCUUCACUGACUCAGUAACGAAGCUAACGCGUGAAGUUGACCGCCUGGGGAGUACGGCCGCAAGGUUGAAACUCAAAAGAAUUGACGGCGNGAGACGAGACGACGGACGACGACGAGGGAGGAGG
rnacentral:rRNA from 1 species